CUGGCGGCAGCCUACACAUGCAGUCGAGCGGAUGACGGGGGCUUGCUCCUUGAUUCAGCGGCGGACGGGUGAGUAAUGCCUAGGAAUCUGCCUGGUAGUGGGGGACAACGUUUCGAAAGGAACGCUAAUACCGCAUACGUCCUACGGGAGAAAGCAGGGGACCUUCGGGCCUUGCGCUAUCAGAUGAGCCUAGGUCGGAUUAGCUAGUUGGUGGGGUAAUGGCUCACCUAGGCGACGAUCCGUAACUGGUCUGAGAGGAUGAUCAGUCACACUGGAACUGAGACACGGUCCAGACUCCUACGGGAGGCAGCAGUGGGGAAUAUUGGACAAUGGGCGAAAGCCUGAUCCAGCCAUGCCGCGUGUGUGAAGAAGGUCUUCGGAUUGUAAAGCACUUUAAGUUGGGAGGAAGGGCAGUAAGCUAAUACCUUGCUGUUUUGACGUUACCGACAGAAUAAGCACCGGCUAACUCUGUGCCAGCAGCCGCGGUAAUACAGAGGGUGCAAGCGUUAAUCGGAAUUACUGGGCGUAAAGCGCGCGUAGGUGGUUUGUUAAGUUGGAUGUGAAAGCCCCGGGCUCAACCUGGGAACUGCAUCCAAAACUGGCAAGCUAGAGUACGGUAGAGGGUGGUGGAAUUUCCUGUGUAGCGGUGAAAUGCGUAGAUAUAGGAAGGAACACCAGUGGCGAAGGCGACCACCUGGACUGAUACUGACACUGAAGUGCGAAAGCGUGGGGAGCAAACAGGAUUAGAUACCCUGGGUAGUCCACUGCCGUAAACGAUGUCAACUAGCCGUUGGGAGUCCUUUGAGAGUUUAGUGGCGCAGCUAACGCAUUAAGUUGACCGCCUGGGGAGUACCGGCCGCAAGGUCAAACUCCAAGGAAUUGAC
rnacentral:rRNA from 1 species